rnacentral:rRNA from 1 species
GAACGCUAGCUACAGGCUUAACACAUGCAAGUCAGGGGCAGCAUGGUCUUAGCUUGCUAAGGCCGAUGGCGACCGGCGCACGGGUGAGUAACACGUAUCCAACCUGCCGUCUACNCUUGGACAGCCUUCUUGAAAAGGGAAGAUUAAUACAAGAUGGCAUCAUGAGUCCGCAUGUUCACAUGAUUAAAAGGGUAUUCCGGUAGACGAUGGGGAUGCGUUCCAUUAGAUAGUAGGCGGGGUAACGGCCCACCUAGUCUUCGAUGGAUAGGGGGUUCUGAGAGGAAGGUCCCCCACAUUGGAACUGAGACACGGUCCAAACUCCUACGGGAGGCAGCAGUGAGGAAUAUUGGUCAAUGGGCGAGAGCCUGAACCAGCCAAGUAGCGUGAAGGAUGACUGCCCUAUGGGUUGUAAACUUCUUUUAUAAAGGAAUAAAGUCGGGUAUGGAUACCCGUUUGCAUGUACUUUAUGAAUAAGGAUCGGCUAACUCCGUG